GAAACUAUAUCAACGCCGUUCUUAAACGAGACUCAACAAAGUUCAGUAGAUAGAUUUUGAAAGAUGGAACCUCAUAUCGCUCUACUUCCAAGUGCUGGAAUGGGGCAUUUGAUGCCAUUCCUUCGCCUCGCUGCCAUGUUAGCUUCUCGUAAUUGUAAGGUCACUUUGCUCACUGCCCAGCCUACUGUCUCUGCCGCUGAAUCUAAACAUUUGAAUAGCUUCUUUUCUGCGCAUCCACACAUUCAACGCCUUGAUUUUCAAGUCGUUCCCCUCCAAUCGUCCAAUCCUCAUGGUGAUCCCUUCUUUCUCCAGUUUGAAGCUAUCAUUCGCUCUGUUCAUCUUCUUCCUCCUCUUCUAUCUUCAUUAUCUCCACCCAUCUCCGCUCUUUUUCUUGACAUUGCUGCUGCAACGUGCGUUGAUCAGCUUGCUGAUCAUCCAUCAUUGUCUAUAUCAUACUACAUCUUAAGUACAACUUCUGCUAGAUUUUUUUCUCUUAUUACCCACCUACCUCAUUUGACUCUUGAAAGCAGUUGCGUGAACUUGAAGCUUCAUGGUCUACCCUCAUUUUCAAUAUCGAACAUCCCUCCUCCUAUUUUCAACCCACAGAAUCUCUUCACAACUCAAAUGAUCUCAAACGCUCGAGCUAUCUCCAGAGUUAAAGGUGUUGUUUCCAAUACGUUCCAUUGGUUUGAGGCUGAGACAAUUGAACCCCUCAACAGUGGCAAGACCUCUAUUACUCUUCCUCAGUUUCUGCCAAUUGGACCUUUCAAGCAUUACGAAGACCCUGGAAAAUGCUCUUCCCUUUCUUGGUUAGAUGAACAACCGUUGGCAGUGUUGAUCGAAUAAUCGUGUGCCUCCUUUCCACUUCUUUUCUUUGGGGUUUUUGGGUCUUUCGAAAUUGAUGCAUGUUUGUUCUUUGCAGAAGUUCUCUUGCUAGAACUUGAAUUUUUCAUGACUAUAGGGUCAUGUGACGAUUUAGAAUCCAAUUCUUCGAAGCUUUAUAUUUUGGAAAAAAACUACAGAUUUAUUAGAUAGGAAG
rnacentral:misc_RNA from 1 species